CAAAAAAAACCUGCCUAUGUGACAGCACAGGGGGACUGCUGAAUCACAGCCUGAACCUCUGACUGAGCACCUGAGGUGAGCAAUGAGUCAGCCCUGGGAGCACAGGUGAAGGCAAUUCUCCUGUGCUGCCGGAAGGGGUGGAGCCUGGCUGCACCUCUCCUAGAGCCAUUUAAGGGCUUACUACUGAGGGGAGGGAUCUCUUCUGAAGAUCCGCUGUGCUGGAAUUUCAUAAGUGAGCCCAGGAUAUGGGUGCAUUUCACACUUCUGCCUACGUACUGUAUUUACUAAACUAGAGAGGAACAGCAGCUACACUCAGCUGGAUUUCAGAGGCUACUUAGGAUUGGUGCUGUCCCUGAAUGAUUGACAAAUCUCUCCAAUGGGAACUGCUAAAGGUGUGUGCUCUCAUCUGAGCAGCACGAAGGACUCCAAGCUCAUUCUGCACUUUCCGAGGACAUUCCCCCCUCCGCCAGCCAACAGAAGAAGCCAACUGAAUUCUUG